rnacentral:lncRNA from 1 species
ACCACCACAAGAAACAGGUCCUCACUUUAGGACCUAAUGCAUGUGUACAUGUCAUGUUUUUGUGCGUAUGGUAUUCCUAUUUAUUAAUGAAAUAAACCAAGAGCCACUGCUAGUGCGGGAGCUCAGUGUACAAAUCAGAGUUUUCAUUCCUGCAAGAGAUCACCAGUUCAGGGUGAGAAUAUUGGGCAGUGCAUAGAGUUGCAUUCAAUAACACUUCCUUUGUGUUAAUGUAGUUAGUGUGUAAUUGCUGUAUUUGGACUUGAGAAGAGAUUUAUUAGCAAUCCGCUGAGGACCAAUUUACAUAAUCAAACAUUUUUUCCUCUGGCCAGUGGUUGAUUGCUCCAUCAGGUGGCUCUAUUUUUCAGAGGGGUAGCUAUGCUAGUCUCCUGCAGCAGAAACAACAAAAAGUCUUGUGGUACUUCGAAGACUAACACGUUUUAUUAUGGUGGCAACUUUCAUGGUCUGGAAUCAGCUUUGUCAGAUGCAUGAAGUGCAGUCCCAGUUUGGAAGGUGUAUAUAUCAUGAGGGUGUAAAGGAUACAUGCAACACAUCAAGUAGGAAUUGAACGCAAGGAAUUGCAAAAAGUACAGUCAGUGACAAUUCAAUUAGAGCUUAAAUGUUUACAAAAUAGUAUCAGUAACCCUUUACACCACUACAGUCACUGGAGCCUGGUCCACUAGAAUCAAUGGGGCACUGCCCCAGUACCUCAGUCUGCCUUCAGCAAACCCCUGUUUUCUUACCAUCAGGGAAUGGUGGCAGUUCUGCCUGUCAUUGGCUGUGGUUCCCACCUCCUGAUGCCCCCAUUGCCUUCUGCCCCACCAAGCCUGAUGAGCAAUGAGCACCAGCCACCACUGACUACAAGUGGAAUUUACUUAACAGUGCCAGAUGUUCAUUUUAUUACCAACCUGUUUACAGUAACAGACUGGUGAUAACACAGUCAGUUAACAUUGCCAAGUAAAUCACAUCCUGAGUGCAACAGGAAACCACUGUCUUUAUUCAAACCCAAAUGGAUAAUAUUGAACUUCCUGAGGAGUUGUAAUUCAGCAGUUUCAUGGUGGAGCCUCCCUUUGAGGUUCCUUUGUUCUGGACAGUAACAACCUCACAAGUUGAAACGCUCUCCUGCUGGUAUAUUGCAAUUUCUGCUGUCAGAUUUGUGUGCAUUUAUUAUUUGAUUCAGGGGCUACUGGCAUAUACAUUUAUAGCCACGAGGAGGUUUGGGGGAAAAUUAUUUCACUGUGUACUGAAAACCUACCUGGCCAAUUAACACAGAGAUCAUAUAGCCAUUUCCCCAUGUGGACAAGUAUAGUGUCCAAUGAAUUUGCUGAGUGGCUGGACUUAGUUUUCAGCCAUGUGAAUCAGUCCUACCCAGUCACAGUGAUAAUGACAGAGAAUGGGCUUUCAGCUUAAAUCCAAGCACUCUGCCUUAAUUUUUUUAUAUAGAAAUGUGCUGCUUAAUACUGCUAUGUGAUUUGUCCAGGCAACAUUGCUACUAAUAGGUUGUGCAUAAAUUAUGAUCGCUUAAGAAUGGCGGAGGUAUUUCCAUUUUGCACCUUGGCUAUUACAGCUGCAGAGAAAAUGAACAAAAUGAGAUUACAAACUUAUAAAUACAGGGUAUGCAAUGGAGAGGGGGGAAGUCGGGUGGGGGACGUAAAAGAGAAGCAGAGAUACAACCUUAACUCCAGCCAUACAAAUGGUCCUGCUAUUAUUUACUAUGGUAACAUUAUAAAAGACUACACUGUUUGGGACCAUUAUCCUUCCAGCUCCCUUUUCAGUACAAAUCAUUAUAUUUAUUAUCUGUCGUCUUGUAUAGAGGGUCAUGAGAAAGGCCAAUCGAAAGCAGAAGAAGCCUGCUUUUCAGAAGAAAAUUGGACCUAUUUCUAAUUCUCUUUCAUUCUCAAGUACAAGGAAGUGCAGACUUUUUUUGUGUGAAAAAUUGUUUCAUGCAAGAUAAAAGUACAGAUUAUCGGUGAGAAAAUGGCACACUCUUCCUGACACCUUGCAGAUUCUUGGGAGAUAUUGCCAGUUUUCCUAAAAGAUUUUUACCUUUCAUAUCCUGAAAAAUAUGUUUCCUUAUAGGUGCUGAGCAGCAGGUGCCAGAGUUUAAGGUAUUAUUUUUGAAUAUGUUGUAUAUAAGGGAUAUCAAUGACUCGGCUGUAUGUUUUAACAAUGUAGUCCCUUAAAGUAAAUACCAUGUUGUAUAUCAUGGAGGAAAUGGAUGUUUUUUUGCAAAUGUGUGCCCAGCAUCAAGGUUCAGUUUGUAGGCUUCUGUCUGCUUUUGUGCAUAUGCAAAUAAAUGAAAUUAAAAUAUG